rnacentral:rRNA from 1 species
GUGGGGAAUAUUGGACAAUGGGCGAAAGCCUGAUCCAGCAAUGCCGCGUGAGUGAUGAAGGCCUUAGGGUUGUAAAGCUCUUUUACCAGGGAUGAUAAUGACAGUACCUGGAGAAUAAGCUCCGGCUAACUCCGUGCCAGCAGCCGCGGUAAUACGGAGGGAGCUAGCGUUGUUCGGAAUUACUGGGCGUAAAGCGCACGUAGGCGGUUACUCAAGUCAGAGGUGAAAGCCCGGGACUCAACCCCGGAACUGCCUUUGAAACUAGGUAACUAGAAUCUUGGAGAGGUCAGUGGAAUUCCGAGUGUAGAGGUGAAAUUCGUAGAUAUUCGGAAGAACACCAGUGGCGAAGGCGACUGACUGGACAAGUAUUGACGCUGAGGUGCGAAAGCGUGGGGAGCAAACAGGAUUAGAAACCCGGGUAGUCC